rnacentral:rRNA from 1 species
CCUACGGGAGGCAGCAGUGGGGAAUCUUGCACAAUGGGCGAAAGCCUGAUGCAGCAACGCCGCGUGAGCGAAGAAGGCCUUUGGGUCGUAAAGCUCUGUCCUAAGGGAAGAAGGAAGUGACGGUACCUUAGGAGGAAGCCCCGGCUAACUACGUGCCAGCAGCCGCGGUAAUACGUAGGGGGCAAGCGUUAUCCGGAAUUAUUGGGCAUAAAGGGUGCGUAGGCGGGCUGUUAAGUCAGCGGUAAAAGCCCGGGGCUCAACCCCGGCGAGCCGUUGAAACUGGCUGUCUUGAGAUGUCGAGAGGUAUGCGGAAUGCGCAGUGUAGCGGUGAAAUGCUUAGAUAUUGCGCAGAACUCCGAUUGCGAAGGCAGCAUACCGGCGGCGAUCUGACGCUGAGGCACGAAAGCGUGGGUAUCGAACAGGAUUAGAUACCCGAGUAGUC